CAGAUCGAGAUGGCAGAGGGAGAGAGAGUAGCGUGUGCAGCCAUAGACAUUAUUAUGUCUAUGUGUGCAGCCAGACAUUUUGGCUUUUUUAACCUGCUGACGGACAGCUGUUAUACGUUCACAUUGGUGUGAGUUCCUGACCGAAGCGGAGACCCAAGGUCAGUGGAGGUCUGACGGGACGUUGAUGAAUGGAUGUGAAGGGUGUCAUCCUGGAUAAACAGCGCCCGGGCCCACAUGCUGCUACAUCCUGAAAAAUACGUCUGCUCCACCAGCAGCCCAGGGAAAUAGUUUGGAGCUUUCACACAUCCUUUCGAUUGCUCACUCUGUCUUUCUCUCUGCGUGGAACGUACAUCACUCCCCGUGUACGAAAAUAAAAUUAAAAAAAUAGCACACAGC